rnacentral:lncRNA from 1 species
AAUUAAGUGGGGGAGGCCUCUGCCAGUUCCUGUUCUGUUAUUGCAUUUUUAAGGCUCCUGUCCACAGCAGAAUGCCUGCUGGCAGUUACAGUUGAUAAACUAAGUAGGAGUUUCCUGCUCCAGAGGGAGUGAAGGCACUGGCAGCCACCACUGGCAGCUGGAACUCCCAAGCUACUCCACGACGCGGGAGGUUGCCUGGCAGUCAGUUUUGAUGACCAGGCCUAGGAGCCACUCUCAAAUCCAAUUCUCCCUACUUUUGAACCGAUUCAGAAGACUCGGAGACCUUGCUUUUGAAGAAACCCAAACUGGACAGACAGUUACUGAAUUUUUGUAAUGUCCGAGGCUUCCAGGAGGAGUGACACAUAUCUCUGCUGGAUGAGCUCACAGUUCCAAUGAGAAGAUACAAGCUGAAAGAUUGCAGCAGAACUGGGAAGUGAAAGCACGGAGAGGCUGUGGGACAUGGAGGAGGGGCGGUAAGAUUGAGAAAGAGGUAACAGUUGGGGUGACUUUGGACCUGAGACCUGGGCAGGCAUAAGAAGUCUCACUCUCUAUUCCAUUCUUGGCAGGGGAUGUUUCUUUGUACCAGGUAGCUUUGCGCUUGUUUUGUUCCAUAAAAGUAAAUCUCUGUUCACUAAGGAAUUAUGGUAGUGAAUGGUGACUCUCCGGAAUUAUAGGGCUAAUUCCAAAAUAAUCUUAGUUUUAUUCCCCCACAUUGUAAUAUUAACACUUGGGAAUUUUGUUUAUCGCGAUGUUUAAUAAUUUGGCCAGCAGAGGGCACUGCAUACUGACAGUCUCUCCACACCAGUCGCUCAAAUCCUCAAGAGUUCCCGAAGUGUUAGGCUUAACUCAGGGGUGUUUGCAAGUGCUUUGCUCUUCUGUUUCAGACAUAAACAUAUGUCAGAAAUUAAAAGAGGGUUGUGAAGCAGGAAAUUAGAUUAACAGUAGCAUAUAAUUUCCCUCUAUUUGUUAAUAAAGAGAAAAAAUAUUGGUAUGUACACCCAUGUCUACAGGGUUUUAAAUGUAGCUGUAUUAAUUAAUGUAUUAAUAAUAUGAUAACACUACUUCUUGCAUAAAUCAACAUAACUUCUAAAUUCUCUUUGAAAAUAUUUUUGGUUUUAUAUUGUGGUUUAAUUCUCAAUCAUAAACUAAAAAGUAAAAAAACCUGAUGCCUAAUGUUAUACUUUCUUUCAAACCUUAAGAUAGAUAUUAUUGUUUGAAUAGUAUCAAAAUAUUGUGGUUCUGCACAAAUGCUUUUUAUAACUUCUUACGAUGAUAUUUUAAUUUCUAUUUCCACAUAUGGAUAUGAGUAUUCGAAAACAUUUGACGCACAAUUUUCUUCUCUUCAUCUCCCCAUUAUAAAAAUGUAAAGGUGUGUUUUAAAACCCGUUUGCUCUUGGUUAAACUUGACAAUGUGGAGACCCCUUUGUUAGCUGGUCCUAUGAGUUAAUGCACAGCCUUUGUGUUUUUCAUUUAAGG